CAAACGGCCCUUUUCAGGGCCACCAAACUUUAUAGAAAAGAAAAAG
rfam:Daphnia pulex DAPPTscaffold_6_Cont445, whole genome shotgun sequence.